rnacentral:rRNA from 1 species
ACGAACGCUGGCGGCGUGCCUCAUACAUGCAAGUCGAGCGAAGUUUUUCUGGUGCUUGCACCGGAAAAACUUAGCGGCGACCGGGUGAGUAACACGUAAAGAACCUGCCUCAUAGACUGGGACAACUAUUGGAAACGAUAGCUAAUACCGGAUAAUAGCAUUAACUGCAUGGUUGAUGUUUAAAAGUUGGUUUUGCUAACACUAUGAGAUGGCUUUGCGGUGCAUUAGCUAGUUGGUGGGGUAAAGGCCUACCAAGGCGACGAUGCAUAGCCGACCUGAGAGGGUGAUCGGCCACACUGGGACUGAGACACGGCCCAGACUCCUACGGGAGGCAGCAGUAGGGAAUCUUCCGCAAUGGGCGAAAGCCUGACGGAGCAACGCCGCGUGAGUGAAGAAGGAUUUCGGUUCGUAAAGCUCUGUUGUUAGGGAAGAAUGAUUGUGUAGUAACUAUACACAGUAGAGACGGUACCUAACCAGAAAGCCACGGCUAACUACGUG